rnacentral:misc_RNA from 1 species
UGCACCUUUUGGUAUUCCGAAAGGUAUGCCUGUUUGAGUGUCUUGAUUACUCACCCUUGGGAUUCUCCUCGGCGUGGACGUGGGCGUUGCGCAAGCUCGCCUUGAAUGCAUUGAAGCAACAGACGUGAUAAGUUUCGUCUGGCGCGAUCACCUUUUUAAGACUAGACCUCAAAUCAGGUAGGACUACCCGCUGAACUUAA